CGCUAUCACUCCUACGGGAGCAGCAGUAGGGAAUCUUCCACAAUGGGCGCAAGCCUGAUGGAGCAACACCGCGUGAGUGAAGAAGGGUUUCGGCUCGUAAAGCUCUGUUGUUAAAGAAGAACACGUAUGAGAGUAACUGUUCAUACGUUGACGGUAUUUAACCAGAAAGUCACGGCUAACUACGUGCCAGCAGCCGCGGUAAUACGUAGGUGGCAAGCGUUAUCCGGAUUUAUUGGGCGUAAAGAGAGUGCAGGCGGGUUUUCUAAGUCUGAUGUGAAAGCCUUCGGCUUAACCGGAGAAGUGCAUCGGAAACUGGAUAACUUGAGUGCAGAAGAGGGUAGUGGAACUCCAUGUGUAGCGGUGGAAUGCGUAGAUAUAUGGAAGAACACCAGUGGCGAAGGCGGCUACCUGGUCUGCAACUGACGCUGAGACUCGAAAGCAUGGGUAGCGAACAGGAUUAGAUACCCUGGUAG
rnacentral:rRNA from 1 species